rnacentral:lncRNA from 1 species
CUAAACCACUAGAAACAAACCUGUAAUCUGACAAAAUCAGAUUAAUGAGUCAGGUAAUGGAAGGAAGAUGUUUGAGAGGAAUCUUGAAACGGUAGCUCUACAGAAGAGAAGAGAGAAGUACAUUUUAUAAGGUUUGAGUUACUGCUGAAAGAUUCUGAAGAGAGACAAGGAGAAGCAGGUUGCAAUAGCAGAGGAGUCCGCAAUGAUCAUGCUGCAUCAUUCAGGAUUGUGAAAGAAACUGUCCCCGGCCCCGACCCCAGCCUCUGCUACCAGGUCAA